GCCACUUCUCAUUAGGACAAUAGAAAUAGGUCAUGAGUGUAUUGAUUCCAAUGGGAGAAGGGAAUGUGAAAACAGAUUAUGACUGAUUCUUUCGCCCCAUAGUUACCAAAGUGAAUGUUGGACCCAUUUUUCACAAGCCACAUACCUCCCGAUCAUUCUGACACUUAUUUGCAAAUUUAAAAAUAAAAUG